rnacentral:rRNA from 1 species
UGGCUCAGGAUGAACGCUAGCGACAGGCCUAACACAUGCAAGUCGAGGGGCAUCGGGGCGAGGAGCAAUCCUUGCCGCCGGCGACCGGCGCACGGGUGAGUAACGCGUAUGCGACCUGCCCGUUGCAGGGGGAUAAUCGGGAGAAAUCCCGUCUAAUACCGCGUAACGCCGCGGGGCUGCAUGGCCCUGCGGCCAAAGGGAGCGAUUCCGGCAACGGAUGGGCAUGCGUGACAUUAGCUAGUUGGCGGGGCAACGGCCCACCAAGGCGACGAUGUCUAGGGGUUCUGAGAGGAAGGUCCCCCACACUGGUACUGAGACACGGACCAGACUCCUACGGGAGGCAGCAGUGAGGAAUAUUGGUCAAUGGGCGCGAGCCUGAACCAGCCAAGUCGCGUGAGGGAUGACGGCCCUACGGGUUGUAAACCUCUUUUGUCGGGGAGCAAAUUCCGCCACGUGUGGCGGAGUCGAGAGUACCCGAAGAAAAAGCAUCGGCUAACUCCGUGCCAGCAGCCGCGGUAAUACGGAGGAUGCGAGCGUUAUCCGGAUUUAUUGGGUUUAAAGGGUGCGUAGGCGGACUGUCAAGUCAGCGGUAAAAUACGGGGGCUCAACCUCCGCCCGCCGUUGAAACUGACGGUCUUGAGUGGGCGAGAAGUAUGCGGAAUGCGUGGUGUAGCGGUGAAAUGCAUAGAUAUCACGCAGAACUCCGAUUGCGAAGGCAGCAUACCGGCGCCCAACUGACGCUGAAGCACGAAAGCGUGGGUAUCGAACAGGAUUAGAUACCCUGGUAGUCCACGCAGUAAACGAUGAAUACUAGCUGUCCGGGGCGAAUGAGCCCUGGGUGCACAGCGAAAGCGUUAAGUUUUCCACCUGGGGAGUACGCCGGCAACGGUGAAACUCAAAGGAAUUGACGGGGGCCCGCACAAGCGGAGGAACAUGUGGUUUAAUUCGGUGAUACGCGAGGAACCUUACCCGGGCUCAAACGACACAGGAACGUACCUGAAAGGGUUCGGCUCUACGGAGCCUGUGUCGAGGUGCUGCAUGGUUGUCGUCAGCUCGUGCCGUGAGGUGUCGGCUUAAGUGCCAUAACGAGCGCAACCCCCAUCGACAGUUGCUAACAGGUUAGGCUGAGGACUCUGUCGAGACUGCCGGCGCAAGCUGCGAGGAAGGCGGGGAUGACGUCAAAUCAGCACGGCCCUUACGUCCGGGGCGACACACGUGUUACAAUGGCAGGUACAGCGGGAAGCCACCUGGCGACAGGGAGCGGAACCCGAAAGCCUGUCUCAGUUCGGAUUGGAGUCUGCAACCCGACUCCAUGAAGCUGGAUUCGCUAGUAAUCGCGCAUCAGCCACGGCGCGGUGAAUACGUUCCCGGGCCUUGUACACACCGCCCGUCAAGCCAUGGAAGCCGGGGGUGCCUGAAGUGCGCUGCCGCGAGGAGCGCCCUAGGGUAAAACCGGUGACUGGGGCUAAGUCGUAACAAGGUA